rnacentral:miRNA from 10 species
CAGUGUGUACAGUACACUACAGUGCAGUACAGUGCAAUGCAAUACAAUACAGUACAGUACACUGAGUAGUGCAGUGCAGUGCAGUACAGUACAGUACAGUGAGCAGUGCAGUACA